AGCUGCUUUGGAUUCUGUGUCUCCAUUCCUCUCUGCCCGUCUCCCACUCAAGCUCUCUCUAUCUCUUUCUAUCUCUCUCUCUUAAAAAUAAAAUAAAUGUUAAAAAUUUGUUUAAAAUGUGACUUAGAUUAUUUUCCUUUUCUGCAGUACCUAAAAGGAGGGUAGGAGGGCGUGGUAUCUCAGGACACAGAGGUACAAUUCUGAACUCCAAUUUCUAAUCUGGAGUUGCAUCUGGAAAAAUCAGGUGAGGGAAUUAAAUCCUACCCUGAGAAUAUUCCCCUUGUCAGGUAUCGUCUUAGGUAUUUUUGAGAGUGUUUUGUUUUUGUUUUUUGUUUUUGAGCGGUCGUGAAAUUAUCAGACUCACAUGAAAACAUUUCAGAAAUUGAGAAGAUUUUGAAAAGGUAGAGAAUAGAAUCCCGCUAAGGAAAUGAAAUAUCCUGUAUGUAACACUCCACGCUAAGUCCAAAAGAUAAACUCUGGUUAACAUAGGUGGGUUAUAUAUAGAUCAAUACCAGCCUUUGUAAGAAGGAUAUAAGUCUUAUUUGGCUGAAGGCUUAAUAUCAGACAACAGAGAGUGAGGGAGGACAAGAAUGCCAAUGUGAGUGAAGCCAGCCUGAUGAGGAAUAGAGCCAGUGAGGGAGACAAGAAUAUUCUCACUCUUCCAUGAACUUGACACAUCCCACCUACAAGCUGCAUUUGCCCUUCAAGAAGGACAUUCAUGAACUAAUUUAAACCGUCCAGAGAAGAAGGAUGACGGUGGGCUAGGAGAUCAUCUCCUAUGAGGAUCAUUUGAGAGAACUGAGGAGACUCCUCUCUACCAGGAGGUAUUUGCUCAAUGGAUGAACGUAUAAAUGAAUUACAAAGCAGGCAGCUUGUUUUCAACACUUCAGUGAGAUUUCUAAAUGGACCACUCAUUUAAUAUAAGAAAAUGUCUGAAGAUUAUAGCCAAUCAAGAGACUGACAUGGCAGACCAGAGACCUGGGAUUAAAACAGCUGAGCUAUCUCUAAUAAAAGUUAUAUUGGAGAAUAAGCCUUGGCCCUGUGGCCCUAUUGGCCUCCUAACACGUGUGCCUUCAAAUCCUCAGACUACUUUAUUCCAUUCCCCGACAGUCCUGGACAACGGCCGACCCACUGAAUUUAUCACAUCGUUAAAAAGCAAACUUGACUGUUACUUCAUGGAGACGUGGUGGAGAGCCCAGCAGUGGCUCAGCCUCUGUGUCUGGUCCCAUCUCCCAAGCCCUGCAGUGAGGGAGGGAGGCCAGCCUUUGUGUAGAGGGAGGCCCUGUGCGUGAAUAUGGACACAGGAGCUCAGGAAACCUGUGUCCUCCCCGGUGUCGUCAACAAUCCUGCUGUGUGACCUUGGGUAAGCAUUUUGACUUCUUUUAGACUUUGUUUUAGCAGGUUAAAUUGAAAAUAAUGCUAUUUACCAUGCAGGAGAUUUGGAAAGAUUGAAUAAUGCCAUAUUUAAAAUGAAUACUGAAAUUUAGGUCUGGAUUUUCUGAACCAUAGAUUUGAUCCAACACACCAUUACUUUGUUGUUGUUUCUGUUGUUAAUGUGUAAUGCAGAAUUAAGGAUU